rnacentral:rRNA from 1 species
CCGGGCCCGACGACCGUAAGAGUGUGACACACGAUAGGUCGAAGAGUGGUGCAUGGCCGUUAACGACGAGUGGAGUGAUCUUUGGGUUAAGUCCGUAAAUUAGUGAGACCUCAGCCGUAAGGGACAGGUGCGCAAAGCACAGGAAGGAUGGGUCAAGGACAGGUCAGUGAUGCCCUUAGAUGGUCCGGGCUGCACGCGCACUACAGUGGUCGCCGAAAUUAGCUGAUAAUUUUAAAGGCGAUCGAGAGGGAAUGAGCUUUGUAAGAGGCUCAGGAACGAGGAAUUGCUAGUAAUCGCGGACUCAUUAAGACGCGAUGAAUACGUCCCUGUUCUUUGUACACACCGCCCGUCGUUAUCGAAGAUGAAGACAGGCGCGAACGAUCUACCAGAAAGUGAGCGCAGGUCUUUAGAUCUGAUACAAGUCGUAACAAGGUAGCUGUAGGUGAACCUGUAGCUGG